ACAUGCAAGUCGAGGGGCAGCAUGAACCUAGCUUGCUAAGUUUGAUGGCGACCGGCGCACGGGUGAGUAACACGUAUCCAACCUGCCGAUGACUCGGGGAUAGCCUUUCGAAAGAAAGAUUAAUACCCGAUGGCAUAAUUCUUCCGCAUGGUAGAAUUAUUAAAGAAUUUCGGUCAUCGAUGGGGAUGCGUUCCAUUAGGUUGUUGGCGGGGUAACGGCCCACCAAGCCUUCGAUGGAUAGGGGUUCUGAGAGGAAGGUCCCCCACAUUGGAACUGAGACACGGUCCAAACUCCUACGGGAGGCAGCAGUGAGGAAUAUUGGUCAAUGGACGAGAGUCUGAACCAGCCAAGUAGCGUGAAGGAUGACUGCCCUAUGGGUUGUAAACUUCUUUUAUACGGGAAUAAAGUGAGGCACGUGUGCCUUUUUGUAUGUACCGUAUGAAUAAGGAUCGGCUAACUCCGUGCCAGCAGCCGCGGUAAUACGGAGGAUCCGAGCGUUAUCCGGAUUUAUUGGGUUUAAAGGGAGCGUAGGCGGACGCUUAAGUCAGUUGUGAAAGUUUGCGGCUCAACCGUAAAAUUGCAGUUGAUACUGGGUGUCUUGAGUACAGUAGAGGCAGGCGGAAUUCGUGGUGUAGCGGUGAAAUGCUUAGAUAUCACGAAGAACUCCGAUUGCGAAGGCAGCUUGCUGGACUGUAACUGACGCUGAUGCUCGAAAGUGUGGGUAUCAAACAGGAUUAGAUACCCUGGUAGUCCACACAGUAAACGAUGAAUACUCGCUGUUUGCGAUAUACAGUAAGCGGCCAAGCGAAAGCGUUAAGUAUUCCACCUGGGGAGUACGCCGGCAACGGUGAAACUCAGAGGAAUUGACGGGGGCCCGCACAAGCGGAGGAACAUGUGGUUUAAUU
rnacentral:rRNA from 1 species